UACGGGGGGGAGCAAGCGUUGUUCGGAUUUACUGGGCGUAAAGGGCGCGUAGGCGGCCACCGCAAGUCGACUGUGAAAUCUCCGGGCUUAACCCGGAAAGGUCAGCCGAUACUGCGGGGCUAGAGUGCAGAAGGGGCAACUGGGAAUUCUCGGUGUAGCGGUGAAAUGCGUAGAUAUCGAGAGGAACACCUGCGGCGAAGGCGGGUGCUGGGCUGACACUGACGCUGAGGCGCGAAAGCUAGGGGAGCGAACGGG
rnacentral:rRNA from 1 species